GCAUUGGUGGUUCAAUGGCAGAACUCUCACCUUCCACGUGGGAGACCUGGGUCUGGUUCCUGGCUAAUGUA
rnacentral:tRNA from 1 species